AGAGUUUGAUCCUGGCUCAGAACGAACGCUGGCGGCGUGCCUAACACAUGCAAGUCGAACGGAAUUGGAGAGCUUGCUUUUCAAUUUAGUGGCGCACGGGUGAGUAACGCGUAGAUAAUCUACCUGAUGAUCCGGGAUAACACUUCGAAAGAGGUGCUAAUACCUGAUAAGCCCACGGAGUCCUUGGACACUGCGGGAAAAGGGGGGGACCAAAUGGCCUUCCGUCAUCAGAUGAGUCUGCGUACCAUUAGCUAGUUGGUAGGGUAACGGCCUACCAAGGCUACGAUGGUUAGCUGGUCUGAGGGGAUGAUCAGCCACACUGGAACUGAGACACGGUCCAGACUCCUACGGGAGGCAGCAGUGGGGAAUUUUGCGCAAUGGGCGAAAGCCUGACGCAGCAACGCCGCGUGAGUGAUGAAGGCUUUCGGGUCGUAAAGCUCUGUCGAGGGGAAAGAAAUGUAUUGUGGCUAAUAUCCACGAUACUUGACGGUACCCCUAAAGGAAGCACCGGCUAACUCCGUGCCAGCAGCCGCGGUAAUACGGGGGGUGCAAGCGUUGUUCGGAAUUAUUGGGCGUAAAGCACGUGUAGGCGGUCUGAUUAGUCUGAUGUGAAAGCCCUGGGCUCAACCCAGGAAGUGCAUUGGAUACUGUCAGACUUGAAUACGGGAGAGGGUAGUGGAAUUCCUAGUGUAGGAGUGAAAUCCGUAGAUAUUAGGAGGAACACCGGUGGUGAAGGCGGCUACCUGGACCGAUAUUGACGCUGAGACGCGAAAGCGUGGGUAGCAAACAGGAUUAGAUACCCUGGUAGUCCACGCCGUAAACGAUGAGUACUAGGUGUUGCGGGUAUUGACCCCUGCAGUGCCGCAGCUAACGCAUUAAGUACUCCGCCUGGGAAGUACGGUCGCAAGACUAAAACUCAAAGGAAUUGACGG
rnacentral:rRNA from 1 species